AUUGAACGCUGGCGGCAGGCCUAACACAUGCAAGUCGAACGAGUGGCGGACGGGUGAGUAAUGUCUGGGACACUGCCUGAUGGAGGGGGAUAACUACUGGAAACGGUAGCUAAUACCGCAUACCAUCGGAUGUGCCCAGAUGGGAUUAGCUAGUAGGUGGGGUAAAGGCUCACCUCGGCGACGAUCGCUAGCUGGUCUGCGAGGUUGACCAGCAACACUGAAACUGGAACAAGAUCCAGACUCCAACGAGAGGCAGCGGUGGGGAAUAUUGAAAAAGGGGCGCAAGCAGGAUGCAGCCAAGCCGAGUGGAAGAAGAAGGCCCUCAGGUUGUAAAGUAAUUUCAGCGGGGAGGCGUUACCCGGAGAAGAAGCACCGGCUAACUCCGUGCCAGCAGCCGCGGUAAUAC
rnacentral:rRNA from 1 species